rnacentral:lncRNA from 1 species
GUGCGGAAGGGCUUUCCAAGCAAAGGAAACGAUGACGUUCUAUAGCCCCCACCAGGAACUAAGUUUUAUGUAGAUAUUCUGGGAGAAAAAAACAACAACUGAAAAACACCUAGCGUUCCUUUUUGCCUUUGUCAACUGAGUAACCUUGAGAAAGACAGCUUUACCUCUCCUGAGCCCUUUCUCCUCUGCAAACUAAGGUCGGGUAGUCUCACGUACCUUACAAACUUAUUUCAAGGAGCAAAACGCUCAGGGGUGCCCUUUAUGGCAUUACAGGGAUUGCCAAGAGAGCGGUGGGAAAUACAGAGAAGGCCCUGCUGGUGUCGAGCUUCGACCCUGAAUAACGGCCACACUUGCUUCCUUGCCUGCGAAUUAAGGCUAAGGCACCUGUCUCGCCGGGCGGCGGCGGCGGCGGCGGCGGCGGCGGCGUGGCGUCGUCGUCGAAAUAAUCCACGUACAUAUCGCGACUGCCAGAAGCCCCUCCAGACCCAAUCAUCAUUCGUGCUGCGCCGAGCAGGCCGGCGCUUGGAGGCUACUCCGCAGGGUUUGUGGAACAGACUCGGUGCAAAGUGAGCCCAAACACGCCGGACUGCGGUGCUGAGCUUUACCCCACUUCCUCACUCUCCCGGGACAUUCCCGUCUCUAAGAGUAGCUCCGCCUUCCGAAGACCCUGUCAGAGUGGACAUACCAGUUUAAAAGGCCUCGGAACGGAGCUCCCACCAAACGAAUUGUUCCGAAGGCGCCUCGAGACCUUUUCAGCGCGCCCUCUCGCGAACCACCCGCCACCAACCAACCCUACCCGGAGCAAGGUCCUACUAUCCAGGCGCCCGGACGCCCGCCCUUAUAAAGACGUAGAGACGUCACCGCGCUGCGCGCGCGGAAAGACGCUGGCGCGACCACGCCCAGGCCUGCGCGGAGGUCCCGGCGCCGGCGCAGUGGGCCGCGCCUGCCCGAAAGCCCGGGAGGUGGGCGCUGAGUCCAGCAGGGGUGGACGAGCGAGCGUCUGGCCGCGGCGCCCGUGUGAGCAGGCCGGGGGAGGAGGACGUGAAGGGGGAAGUGCGGAAGUUUCUCCGGUAUCGGCGGGACUUGGGGCGGUUUUCCAGCCGGCUCUGAGUCGGUGAGAGCCUGAGGCUGAGGCGGCAGAGAGAACUUGCCCGGCCGGGGUUCGCCUGAGGUGCAGACUGCGGCCGGCACAGAGGAGCGACCGGCUGUCCGCCGUUUCCUUGGUGCUGCCUUAGUGGGCUCCGUUGCCGACAGGAACUGGAAGCCAGGCGUCGAGGGUCGGCCUGGGAGCUCCGAGCGGGAAAUAACUGGUUUAUUUUCGCUUCUCAGAAUACCAAUGGACUCAAGUACAAAAUGAUCGGAUAAUGCAAAGUUGAGCACAUGUGGUACAAGUAACUUUAAA